GUUUCACAGGUGUAUAUUAUCUUCAAACUCAUCAAGAUGUCUACAUUAAACAUGGACAGCUUUUUUGCAUGUUAAUUAUACCUCAGUAAAAAAAGAGUUGUAUUCUUCGGGAAUUUACUAGUAGGGAAUCAUUGUAAUGAAGCUAUCUUUCAUCCAAGGACAUUUUAAGAUUAACCCUUAGAAACAUUCCUCCCCCUCCCAGUUCAUGUAGACAAUCUACAGGAGGCUACAGGCCACAUCAGGUUCACAAAGGCAAUGAAGCCGCUGAGCCCAGGUACCGCCAGUGACUCUGGUGUAGAGUCAUCCUGCUCAUAUGUGCUGGAUCUGAUUUUACAUUAAUCUUGCUCUUCUUCCUGCUUUUUUAACGGCGUCACAGUCCUCCCAGUUUUUAAAGCUAGAAACCUCAGAGCUACCUUCAGCAUAUUUUCUUCACUGUCCCCUAUGUGAAGCCUGUAUGGAGGAGGAGACCACAAACGAGGUCCUGAAAGAUGAGUAGAGGCUUGCAACCUGGCAAAAAGAAGGAAGGGAAUUCCAGGAAGAAGAAAUGUGCACAUAACAGCACGAAGGAGUGGAGGGUGAGAUGCAAUGGGGAGGGACUGGCUGAGAGGCUGGGUUAGCACAGCCAAGACAACGAUAACUUCCAAAGUCCAGUCCUAGACAUUGUGAAUGUUUAAAAAAGAAAACACAACAAAAUAUGCAGAAAAGAUUUUCGGUAACAAAAAUUUUGGUAAUUUUUUUCUCCUUCACAUUUUAUCAUGAAGGGAAAGAUCUUUUUCAUUUAACCCAUAUUUGCUCGCCACCAGGGUGACCACAGAAAAUGGGAGGGAGGCAAUUAUGUGCAGAAUCCACAAAGAAUUGAGAAAUUCCAAGAAAAGAAAUGAUGUUAACUUAGAAAAUCACCUCAAACCAGAAUGUUGAUAUGACUCUGGGGACUGGGCAACUGAAUUCUUCUCAUAUGUGAUGAUUAUAUGGAGAACUAGCAGAUUUUAAAGUCCUUAAGAGCAAGAAAUGUCAUGGUGUUCCGACAACAGCCUAUAUCUACUUGCAAUGUGACUUUGGACAAGAAUACUGAGAUUAGGAGGAUAAGCAACUUGCCAGCUAUCAUGCAGAGACUUUGAAUUGAAUAGAAUGGAUUUGCCAACAUGAAGAUUAUUUUAGAAUCCUCUCUCUAGAGUUCUCUUACAGUUUGCCUGGUAGUGACAGAACGUUUGAGCCCAGCGGGAUUGUGGUGUUCAUCAAGGUCACUGUCUCCAAUGUACAGGUCUCAUGUCACUCCGUAAUUAUAAGGCUGGAAGCCAAUUCACCAACCAGAUUCUACUGAGAGGCAAUGUAAUUCAAUCAAAACACUCUUAUAAUUUUGCAGAUUUAAGUCUGUCAACUGAAAAAAAAGCACAACCAAAGAGUUGAGGAUUAUGUCUUAAUUAGCAAAUUUACUGAGUACUGAAGCCCAGGAUACAGCCUCUCAGAUCGCUCUGAGGAACUGUUCCGAAGAGGUAAGGUAGGAGCCAGGAUACAGAGGAGUUUUGCAAAAAACACCCUAAAACCACUAUGUACUCAGAACAUCAGAAGAUUGCUGCUUAUUAAAGAGAACCAGACAUGUUAAAUUAAUGAAUUUAACGCUUUUCUAUGGGAAGAUCCAAGUGUCUGGGCUUACUGAAAUUAUCCUUUGAUAUGCACCUUACCUAUCUAGGGUCAGUAUCCUGUUUUUUUCCAUACUGAAUUCCCCUCAGGAUAUACCAUCAGGGGUCACUGCAAUGGCUGAUACUUGAUGGCCUCAACAUCCUUUGUUUACUGAAAUGGCAGGUGACAUUUUUUGUCCACAAGUCUGCAUGUAUAGAUUGCACAUACAGCAAAAAAUUAUAGGAGUAUACUUUGAAUCACUAAUAAAACUUGAGACUCUGGGUUGAACAGAGAACAUGAGUGCUGAUUGCUGAGUCUGAAAAAUAGUAAAUGUCAGAGUAUCAGCAAUGAAAUUGUCAGCCACAGAGUCUUGAUAAAAAUACCAACAUAGAAAUCAGAGGGCUUUGUUUUGCUUCCCUGUCUACUGCAGGUGGUUGACAGGAUGUAACUCUGAAAGGCUUUCUUAGGAAAUUUUUGUUUCUCUUGUUUGUUUGUUUUUCUCUUCCUGUGCCUCCACACAGGGUUCUGUGACCUGGUGCCACCUGCCUCAUAUCCAAGAUCCCACAGAAAGGCUGCCCUUUUUUGGUAGAAGGCUUCUGGGGCAUAUUGACUUACAAAGGAAAUAGCUUGUGAAAGAAAAGUGCUUGCAAGUCCAGGAAAUGUCUCUUUCUCAUCUAAUUUUUAUUCUAAUGAGAACAAAAUAUGGUAACUUAUUCCAACUGCCAGUGUUGUUUGUAAGAUGGCCAUAUCUUUGCUGAGCUAGUGAAUCUCUGCAGGACUCUACCAGAGACCUGGUGAGGUCCCAGCACCACUUAUUGGAGCCUCUUUCUCUUCUCACCAAGUGAGGACAGUAGUAGUUUUCUUCCCCUGGGAAGAUAAGUUUAUAUUUGCGAAGUUCAGCAAAACUAUAAAUGAUCCAAUUUGGGGAAAAUGAAAAAAAAUGAUAAUAUAGUAUACUAUCUAAUGUUAUGUAAUUAACUCACUAACCCCGUGAGUUAAUUCUUUACUCUUCUUAUCAGAAAGGCACCACAGUGGAGGUGGAUGGUGUCUGGAAGCCAGAUAGACCUGGCAUUAAUAGCUCUUAUACUUACUAGCCAAGGGACUUGGAUUAAUUUCUUUUUAUAAUUAAUUAAUUAAUUAAUUUUGGCUGCAUUGGGUCUUUGUUGCUGUGCGUGGGCUUUCUCUAGUUGAAGAGAGUGGUGGCUUCUCUUGUUGUGGAGCAUGGACUCUAGGCAUGAGGGCUUCAGUAGUUGUGGCACGUGGGCUCAGUAGUUGUGGUGCACGGGCUUAGUUGCUCUGCGGCAUGUGGAGUCUUCCCAGACCAGGGCUUGAACUCGUGUCCCCUGCAUUGGCAGGGGAAUUGUUAACCACUGCACCACGAGAGAAGCCCUGGGUUAAUUUCUUAACCUCAUUUUCCUCCUACUUGAAAUAACACCUUUAACAAUUGUAGGAUUAAUUGUGGUUAGAGACAAAGGAUGGUGCUAAACAUCACUAGAUGCCGGUAGCAUACCUCCCUCCCUGAUUAUGACAAUCAAAAAUGUCCCCAGAUGUUGCUGGGGGUUCAAAAUCAUCCUUGACUGAGAAUCAUGACUAUAGAAAAAGAUACCUUGGACUCAGAGGAGAAGGAUGGCUACUUCUGGCUAGUCUACCUACUAAUUCUAAAUUUUGCUUUUCUCACCUUUAAAAAGUAGGGGUUAAGCAAGAUUAUCUUUAAGGUGCUUUCUAACUCUAGCAAGAUGAGAUUCUAUGGAAGGAAGAAAAAAAGAUGAUGAAGAUUUAGGAAGACAUGCAGUGAAGGCCAGGGAAAUUGGCUAAGAUAGGAAGAGGUCAGGUAAAUUCUGUACUUCUGAGCAAAGUUGAGAGUACACACCACCAAUUAGACAAAAUUGCUAACCUAAGCUAACUAACUAGUAAUAAAGGGUCAGAAAUCCAGACCAGGAAUCGGGACUCCUACAGAUGAUGGAGAUGACAAUGAUGAUGAUGAUGGUGGUGGUGGUGAUGGAAACGACACAGCAGCUAACAUUUAUUGAGCACUAACUAUGGACUGUGCUCCCAGGCCAGAAUGUGGGUGACAGAAGGUUGGCAUAUAGACUCGGGUGGGAUAUGAUGGUAGGAGUCAUAGAGAGAAGCUGCAAGAACCAGACUACUCUCAGAUCUGGGGUAGGUCAGAGCCAAGGGAGAUGUGCUCUGGAGAUGUGCACACGUCUUACCUGGUCCUUUGUGAAGCCACUUCAGUUUCUCUUGGGUGUUUGGUGCUGAGCAAAUGAAUCCCAUUCUUAACUUUUUCCAUCAUCAGAUCCUCUUCAUUUGGCUUUUAAGAAGAUCCGUAUGUUAGGCUGGAGUUGUGACCAAGGAGGAACUUUUAAGUCUCCAAAUUCUCUGUAUACCACAACUUGUGCUUUGGAUAAUGACUUGUUCUCUGCAUCCCUAACCCAAUAGUUUAAGUAGAAUAGUAGACUAGUCUAAGUAAGUAAUGGGGGGCUGGGAAUAAAAAUUCAACACAAUGAGGUAAGAGUGAUUUUCUUUUCUAUAGUAAGAGAGGAAUUGAAAUAUUUCCAAUGGCAAUGGAGAGUAUAUGCAGUAGCACAGUUGAAAUACUAAUAUUGUCUGGAUAGGUGGGGC